GACAGAGGUGCCGAGCGUUAGGCGGAAUCACUGGGCUUAAAGCGUGUGUAGGCGGAUCGUUAAGUGCCUUGUGAAAUCCCACGGCUCAACCGUGGAACUGCUUGGCAUACUGGCGAUCUUGAGCCACGUAGGGGCUACCGGAACAAAUGGUGGAGCGGUGAAAUGCGUAGAUAUCAUUUGGAACGCCAAUGGUGAAAACAGGUAGCUGGGAGUGUGCUGACGCUGAGACACGAAAGCCAGGGGAGCAAACGGG
rnacentral:rRNA from 1 species